UGGGGAAUUUUGGACAAUGGGCGCAAGCCUGAUCCAGCCAUUCCGCGUGCAGGAUGAAGGCCCUCGGGUUGUAAACUGCUUUUGUACGGAACGAAAAGGNNCYGGUUAAUACCUGGNGCUGAUGACGGUACCGUAAGAAUAAGCMCCGGCUAACUACGUGCCAGCAGCCGCGGUAAUACGUAGGGUGCAAGCGUUAAUCGGAAUUACUGGGCGUAAAGCGUGCGCAGGCGGUGAUGUAAGACAGGUGUGAAAUCCCCGGGCUUAACCUGGGAACUGCAUUUGWGACUGCAUCGCUGGAGUGCGGCAGAGGGGGAUGGAAUUCCGCGUGUAGCAGUGAAAUGCGUAGAUAUGCGGAGGAACACCGAUGGCGAAGGCAAUCCCCUGGGCCUGCACUGACGCUCAUGCACGAAAGCGUGGGGAGCAAACAGGAUUAGAUACCCUGGUAGUCCACGCCCUAAACGAUGUCAACUGGUUGUUGGUCCUUCACUGGAUCAGUAACGAAGCUAACGCGUGAAGUUGACCGCCUGGGGAG
rnacentral:rRNA from 1 species